GACGAACGCUGGCGGCGUGCCUAAUACAUGCAAGUAGAACGCUGAAGGAGGAGCUUGCUCUUCUGGAUGAGUUGCGAACGGGUGAGUAACGCGUAGGUAACCUGCCUGGUAGCGGGGGAUAACUAUUGGAAACGAUAGCUAAUACCGCAUAAUAGUAGAUGUUGCAUGAUAUUUACUUAAAAGGUGCAAUUGCACCACUACCAGAUGGACCUGCGUUGUAUUAGCUAGUUGGUGGGGUAGCGGCUCACCAAGGCGACGAUACAUAGCCGACCUGAGAGGGUGAUCGGCCACACUGGGACUGAGACACGGCCCAGACUCCUACGGGAGGCAGCAGUAGGGAAUCUUCGGCAAUGGACGAAAGUCUGACCGAGCAACGCCGCGUGAGUGAAGAAGGUUUUCGGAUCGUAAAGCUCUGUUGUAAGAGAAGAACGAGUGUGAGAGUGGAAAGUUCACACUGUGACGGUAUCUUACCAGAAAGGGACGGCUAACUACGUG
rnacentral:rRNA from 1 species